rnacentral:rRNA from 1 species
GACGAACGCUGGCGGCGUGCUUAACACAUGCAAGUCGAACGGAAAGGCCCUGCUUGCAGGGUGCUCGAGUGGCGAACGGGUGAGUAACACGUGGGUGAUCUGCCCCUUACUUUGGGAUAAGCCUGGGAAACUGGGUCUAAUACUGGAUAGGACCAUGCUGUAGGUGGUGUGGUGGAAAGAUUAGUUUCGGUAAGGGAUGAGCUCGCGGCCUAUCAGCUUGUUGGUGGGGUAAUGGCCUACCAAGGCGUCGACGGGUAGCCGGCCUGAGAGGGUGGACGGCCACAUUGGGACUGCGGUACGGCCCAGACUCCUACGAGAGGCAGCAGUGGGGAAUAUUGCACAAUGGGCGCAAGCCUGAUGCAGCGACGCCGCGUGGGGGAUGACGGCCUUCGGGUUGUAAACUCCUUUCAGCCAUGACGAAGCCCUUGUGGUGACGGUAGUGGUAGAAGAAGCACCGGCUAACUACGUG